rnacentral:rRNA from 1 species
UACGGAGGGUGCAAGCGCUAUCCGGAUUCACUGGGUUUAAAGGGUGUGUAGGCGGGCUGUUAAGUCAGUGGUGAAAUCUCCGGGCUCAACCCGGAAACUGCCAUUGAUACUAAUGGUCUUGAAUUUUGUUGAGGUAGGCGGAAUAUGUCAUGUAGCGGUGAAAUGCUUAGAUAUGACAUAGAACACCGAUUGCGAAGGCAGCUUACUAAGCAAAUAUUGACGCUGAGGCACGAAAGCGUGGGGAUCAAACAGG